rnacentral:lncRNA from 1 species
AGUUCUCAUUCUCUUUUUUGCCAGUAAAAUAGUUUAUUACAAACAUAAUCAAGAAAGAAACACAAACAAUCUCAACAGUAAAGGAAGAUAUGGAUUUCGGGCUUUCAGGCUCGGGCUCUGGUUCAGAUUUCAAAUUAGGCUCCGAAUCGGAAGAAGUGGGAGUGGCAGUGGCAGAUUCAGUAAUUAGAGGGGAAUCAGAGGGUAAAGAUUGAGGAAUACCUUCGAAUUCAUCCUCAUCCCAGUAGUCAAAAGAUGUUGAAGCUGGUUUCGGGAUUUCAAAUUAGGAUCCGAAUCGGAAGAAGUGGGAGUGCCAGUGGCAGAUUCAGUAAUUAAAGGUGAAUCAGAGGGUAAAGAUUGAGGAAUACCUUCGAAUUCAUCCUCAUCCCAGUAAUCAAAGGAUGUUGAAGCUGGUUUUGGAUCGGACGGCUGAGAUGUAACGGGAGGGGCUGGUUCAGGAGGGCCGUGGUGAGAUUCAAUAGGGUCGGAGACGGAGAGAGUGGUAGUAAGUGGAGGUGGUGGUGUGGAGGAGAUGAUUGGGUCGACUGGGUCGGCGAAGUCGUCGACUUCAUCGGCAUCGAAACCCUCGAAGUGGCGGUUCUCGGCGGCGGAGACGGGGGAGAGGUGAUGGAGGAGGAGGGAGAGGAUGGCAAAAAGGGCAAUAAGGUAAAAGAGAGUGUCACCUCUAGGGAGGAAGAAGGAGGAGAAAGGAGAAAGGGAGAAGGAGCGCUUCGCCAUGAGAGAGUGUGUGUUAUGGAUUUGAUCUCUCUCUGCUUCUGUGGAAAAUAAGGAGGAAGAAGAAUGAGAUGAUAUAUAAUCAAUAUAUGUGUAUAAAUGUGCAGAAUUUAGAGAGAAAAUAUAAGUAGAUACUUUCAAAGUGCAGUUGCGCAGUUAACCAAGGCUCCAAAU